rnacentral:rRNA from 1 species
GACGAACGCUGGCGGCGCGCCUAACACAUGCAAGUCGAACGGAGUCACGAGGAGCUUGCUUUUCUUGACUUAGUGGCGAACGGGUGAGUAACGCGUGAGUAACCUGCCCUGGAGUGGGGGACAACAGUUGGAAACGACUGCUAAUACCGCAUAAGCCCACGGAUCUGCAUGGAUCUGCGGGAAAAGGAUUUAUUCGCUCUAGGAUGGACUCGCGUCCAAUUAGCUAGUUGGUGAGGUAACGGCCCACCAAGGCGACGAUUGGUAGCCGGACUGAGAGGUUGAACGGCCACAUUGGGACUGAGACACGGCCCAGACUCCUACGGGAGGCAGCAGUGGGGGAUAUUGCACAAUGGGGGAAACCCUGAUGCAGCGACGCCGCGUGGAGGAAGAAGGUUUUCGGAUUGUAAACUCCUGUCGUGAGGGACGAUAAUGACGGUACCUAACAAGAAAGCACCGGCUAACUACGUG